rnacentral:rRNA from 1 species
UGGGGAAUUUUGGACAAUGGGGGCAACCCUGAUCCAGCCAUGCCGCGUGUGCGAAGAAGGCCUUCGGGUUGUAAAGCACUUUUGGCAGGAAAGAAACGGCGCCGGCUAAUAUUCUGGCGUAACUGACGGUACCUGCAGAAUAAGCACCGGCUAACUACGUGCCAGCAGCCGCGGUAAUACGUAGGGUGCAAGCGUUAAUCGGAAUUACUGGGCGUAAAGCGUGCGCAGGCGGUUCGGAAAGAAAGAUGUGAAAUCCCAGGGCUCAACCUUGGAACUGCAUUUUUAACUCCCGAACUAGAGUGUGUCAGAGGGGGGUGGAAUUCCACGUGUAGCAGUGAAAUGCGUAGAUAUGUGGAGGAACACCGAUGGCGAAGGCAGCCCCCUGGGAUAACACUGACGCUCAUGCACGAAAGCGUGGGGAGCAAACAGGAUUAGAUACCCUGGUAGUCCACGCCCUAAACGAUGUCAACUAGCUGUUGGGUUCUUCGGAGCUUGGUAGCGCAGCUAACGCGUGAAGUUGACCGCCUGGGGAGUACGGUCGCAAGAUUAAAACUCAAAUGAAUUGAC